CGGGCCAGGCGGCCUUUAACGGGGCCGCGCCGCCUUUGUUCUCUCAUCAGGCGCCCUGCACCUCAUCCCCACGGGAACCCGGUUACUUGACCAGCCUGAGGUUUCAGGUGAGGUCAGGACGCAGCCUGGCAGCCGCAGUGAAACCCGCUGGCUCGGCCUCCCUGACCGGUGUAGGUGACGACGAACAAUACACCGGGUGGCUAACAGCUGGGAGAAUGGUUACGUUUGUUUUUGUGUCUUGAUUUGCGGGCCGCUACAUUUAAUUUCCAAUAUCUACCAAGAGCGGUGGUGCUUGCAAAGGCAUCUGUCUGUAUGACUUCACAGUGCUCAAUGCUUCAGAAAGAUGGAUGAAUGAGGCCAGGCAUUAUCAUAAGCCAGGUAUUCUUAGCACCCUGGGCAUCUCCCUGUAAUUAGAGUCUCUACGUUUCAUUCCAGAUCCUAGACUUUCAUCUUCAGAAAACCAUUGUUUUGUGGGAGCUCUCCAGGGUACUGGACUUCUGCCUGAAAAACAUCUCUGACAUCGCAGACUAGUGUUCCACAGCUACAUCUAACUGACAUCUCUGUGUGUCUUGAACAUUGUCUUCUUUAUACCAGAGAACCACAUUCACCCCAGUCCGAGAGCUCUGUGCACGCCAUUUCUUCUUGAAACUCCCUCUCUUCUGUGGAACUGCCUCUUUCUACCAGCAAGUCUCUGUGGCUCAGCUUAAAUGUGUCCUUUUUAGAAACACCCAACUAGAAGGUUCUGGGACACCCUCCCGUUCUCUGCCACAGCUGCUCAGGUAGGGCAGGCACCUGUAACAUCAGCCUGGAUAGAACCCAGUGUGAAGACUCAGGUGCCCGAGUCUCAAGCUGUGGUCAUCGAUUAACACAGAUCAGCACAUCAGGCUGUGGACGCGAGGCCUUGGACACACCUGCCACACUCCCAUGUCGCCCUGGGACAAAGUGGGUGGGCUGGCUGCAUGCUGCCAAGGUGACGUGAGACCGCGUGGCUUCCUGGUAAAGGGAUACAGGGACUCUGCCAGUUUACCACAUUUAUGGCCUUCGGUCAGCUUCUGAAUCUCAGCUUCCUCAUUUGCAACUGCAUGAAUCCCAGGGUGGCGACCUUGCUGUUCACACCAGAGUUUUGUGGAAGUCGUUGUCUCCUGGAACACGCGCACUGCCAUGGCCCUAAGGGAUCAUCUGGAACAGCGGGUGACUCAGCCUUUUUCCACCCCACACUGCGAAGAGCUGAGACCACUCCUGGCAGCAGCAGGAGCCUUCUACAGCAGUGAAUCCAACGGGGGUGGGAUGAGAGAUAAACAUCGAUCAGCUGCCUCCUGCACACCCUGGGGCCGGGGGGACCUGUCAGGCUUGCUCUCUGUCAUCUAGAUGGCAGGGCGUUGGGGGAAGGCAACACGGGACAGGUCUGUUUUGAUAGAAGUGACCACGAAUAGCCUAGACCACACAGCGGGAAAAACCCCCUGCACCCCUCUGUCCAUGUUGAAAAUCACUGAUCAAGUUAACACCUCGUUCUGUAGAUGUGGGAAUCCAGGGAGACCUGAAGAAGUGAAGGAACCGGAAACACACAGUGAAAACAAUGCUGUGUGUCGAACCCAGGUCCGGAUGCCCAGUCAGGUUAGGAUGUAACACACACAUAACUCUAAAAGGGCCAUGCGUUCUGAAGGAGAGGAGUGGAGCGUGUUGAUCUAGUCACUCCUUAGUUUAAAAGGUGGGGUGAAGGAAAAGUCCAGGAAGUUACUGAAAAGAAGCUGAAGCCCUGGCCGGUUUGACUCAGUGAAUAGAGUGUUGGCCUGUGGACUGAAGGGACCCGGAUU